UCUCUCUCUUCCCCCCUUCAACAGUCUAGGAUGAAACAUACUAGCAGUGUGCUUCCAGACAGACUAAGCUGAAGCUGAAGUUGUGUCCAUGCACAUGGAGAGUAGAGAAAAUGGGAAGAGGAACUGGAUAAAACUGAAUGGAAACCAAAACCAUGUGUCCAUAAGACAAAGGGUGCACCAAGCUGUGAGAAGUUCCUAUUGAUGGGACAAGGAAUCAUCAAAGAAGAGGAAGAUUUGAGAUGCUCUCAAGGACCACUUCUAAAUCAGAAGGUUAGAGCUGGAGAACCCAUCUCCUUUUUCAAGCUAGCACGAAGCCUUUUCCCAGUGCUGGAGGGAGUCUUUCCAUUGAGUCAUGUCACCUCCUGCAGUCAACAGUUCAUUUUGUUCAACUUCAAUGGCACUCCAAGACACAAAUCCACACCUUUCUUUCCCUCAAACCUACUUCCACAUGGACCAAUCCCAAGAAACAUUAGAUAAAUAAAUAAAGAAAAAACAAAAUAAAAUGUAAAGAAGAUACUCUUGCCCAUACCUCUUGAUGUCAGAGCCAUAUCUUAUUUCCUUGAAGGAAGGGGCAAUAGUUUUGGCUAAGCCAGUGAUUCUCUGUACAUGAAUUUCCUAGAUCCAAAUACAUUACUGGAACAAUAAACAAUAGACACUGC